rnacentral:rRNA from 1 species
UAGCCUUGACAUUGAUAGAAUACACCAGAGAUGGAGUAGUGCCUUUCGGGGAACUUGAAAACAGGUGCUGCACGGCUGUCGUCAGCUCGUGUCGUGAGAUGUUGGGUUAAGUCCCGCAACGAGCGCAACCCUCGUCCUUAGUUGCCAGCAGGUUAAGCUGGGCACUCUAAGGAGACUGCCUUCGUAAGGAGGAGGAAGGUGAGGACGACGUCAAGUCAUCAUGGCCCUUAUGGCUAGGGCUACACACGUGCUACAAUGGGGCGUACAGAGUGUUGCGAUACCGCGAGGUGGAGCUAAUCUAUAAACCUAAUCUCAGUUCGGAUAGCAGUCUGCAACUCGACUGCUUGAAGCUGGAAUCACUAGUAAUCGUAAAUCAGCUAUGUUACGGUGAAUACGUUCCCGGGUCU